GAUGAACGCUGGCGGCGUGCCUAAUACAUGCCAGUCGAGCGAACGGACGAGAAGCUUGCUUCUCUGAUGUUAGCGGCGGACGGGUGAGUAACACGUGGAUAACCUACCUAUAAGACUGGGAUAACUUCGGGAAACCGGAGCUAAUACCGGAUAAUAUUUUGAACCGCAUGGUUCAAAAGUGAAAGACGGUCUUGCUGUCACUUAUAGAUGGAUCCGCGCUGCAUUAGCUAAUUGGUAAGGUAACGGCUUACCAAGGCAACGAUGCAUAGCCGACCUGAGAGGGUGAUCGGCCACACUGGAACUGAGACACGGUCCAGACUCCUACGGGAGGCAGCAGUAGGGAAUCUUCCGCAAUGGGCGAAAGCCUGACGGAGCAACGCCGCGUGAGUGAUGAAGGUCUUCGGAUCGUAAAACUCUGUUAUUAGGGAAGAACAUAUGUGUAAGUAACUGUGCACAUCUUGACGGUACCUAAUCAGAAAGCCACGGCUAACUACGUG
rnacentral:rRNA from 1 species